AAAAGAAAUCAACCGAGAUUCCCCCAGUAGCGGCGAGCGAACGGGGAGCAGCCCAGAGCCUGAAUCAGUGUGUGUGUUAGUGGAAGCGUCUGGAAAGGCGCGCGAUACAGGGUGACAGCCCCGUACACAAAAAUGCACAUACUGUGAGCUCGAUGAGUAGGGCGGGACACGUGGUAUCCUGUCUGAAUAUGGGGGGACCAUCCUCCAAGGCUAAAUACUCCUGACUGACCGAUAGUGAACCAGUACCGUGAGGGAAAGGCGAAAAGAACCCCGGCGAGGGGAGUGAAAAAGAACCUGAAACCGUGUACGUACAAGCAGUGGGAGCACAGAGCAAUCUGUGUGACUGCGUACCUUUUGUAUAAUGGGUCAGCGACUUAUAUUCUGUAGCAAGGUUAACCGAAUAGGGGAGCCGAAGGGAAACCGAGUCUUAACUGGGCGUUAAGUUGCAGGGUAUAGACCCGAAACCCGGUGAUCUAGCCAUGGGCAGGUUGAAGGUUGGGUAACACUAACUGGAGGACCGAACCGACUAAUGUUGAAAAAUUAGCGGAUGACUUGUGGCUGGGGGUGAAAGGCCAAUCAAACCGGGAGAUAGCUGGUUCUCCCCGAAAGCUAUUUAGGUAGCGCCUCGUGAAUUCAUCUCCGGGGGUAGAGCACUGUUUCGGCAAGGGGGUCAUCCCGACUUACCAACCCGAUGCAAACUGCGAAUACCGGAGAAUGUUAUCACGGGAGACACACGGCGGGUGCUAACGUCCGUCGUGAAGAGGGAAACAACCCAGACCGCCAGCUAAGGUCCCAAAGUCAUGGUUAAGUGGGAAACGAUGUGGGAAGGCCCAGACAGCCAGGAUGUUGGCUUAGAAGCAGCCAUCAUUUAAAGAAAGCGUAAUAGCUCACUGGUCGAGUCGGCCUGCGCGGAAGAUGUAACGGGGCUAAACCAUGCAC
rnacentral:rRNA from 1 species